UUGAAUUUUUGGAACGAACUGACUGCAGGGAUGCAUGUCAGUUCUAAUAAACUGUACAAAA
rnacentral:precursor_RNA from 1 species